CCCUAGCCCGGAUGGAAGCGGCAUCCUUUUAUGGCGGGGUUCGCCAUAAAAGAUACAGCGGACAGCCGGAUUAGCU
rnacentral:sRNA from 1 species